AUUGAACGCUGGCGGCAGGCUUAACACAUGCAAGUCGAGCGGAGACUUCGGUCUUAGCGGCGAACGGGUGAGUAAUACCUAGGAAUCUGCCUAUUAGUGGGGGAUAACGAAUCGAAAGGUUCGCUAAUACCGCAUACGUCCUACGGGAGAAAGGGGGGAGUCUUCGGACCUCUCGCUAAUAGAUGAGCCUAGGCCGGAUUAGCUAGUUGGUAGGGUAAAGGACCUACCAAGGCGACGAUCUGUAGCUGGUCGUGAGAGGAUGGCCAGCCACACUGGAACUGAGACACGGUCCAGACUCCUACGGGAGGCAGCAGUGGGGAAGUAUUGGACAAUGGGGGCGAACCCUGAUCCAGCCAUGCCGCGUGUGUGAAGAAGGCC
rnacentral:rRNA from 1 species